rnacentral:lncRNA from 1 species
UCCUGAGGGGUCUGCCUUCUCCUGCCUCUCUUUGCUAGAUCCCUCAUGGCCCUGGCGUGCUGGCAUUGGGCAAGACAGCAAGAGAGCUGCAUCGUUGAGAGAAGGAGCACAUGAGCUUCCGUGCCUUCCAAGCAUGUACUCGUAGGAGCAAGAAAAUUAGGCCUGGGACAAGUUCAUGCUCACAGCGAGCAUAUGUUCAACGUUGGGCCUGACUUCCUGGAUCUUGUGAUCUAAGCCUGUGGCCAUAAGUGCUCGGUGUGCACCUCGAA